UACAGAGGUGGCAAGCGUUGUUCGGAAUUACUGGGCGUAAAGGGCGCGUAGGCGGUUCGUUAAGUCCUGUGUGAAAUCCCCGGGCUCAACCCGGGAACUGCGUCCGAUACUGGAAGGCUUGAAUCCGGGAGGGGGAUGUGGAAUUCCAGGUGUAGCGGUGAAAUGCGUAGAUAUUGGGAGGAACACCAGUGGCGAAGGCGGCUCACUGGACUGGUACUGACGCUGAGGCGCGAAAGCGUGGGGAGAAAACAGG
rnacentral:rRNA from 1 species